rnacentral:lncRNA from 1 species
GGACUCUGGUGUGGGUGGGAAGAGCACAGUGGGAGGGUUGGGGCAGGGGCACGGCCUUGGGACUAGAGUAGGUGGAGGCAGUGGGGCGGGGAGGAGGAAAAGAAGGAAGGAAGAGGCCGGUCAGAGGAAGCCCAAAAGUGGAUUCCUGGACACACAGUAAAAAGGGGAGGACGACUUAAAGACGGUUUCCAGAUGUGGGGGUCUGGGGAGAAGGGAAGCUUUUACAGCUGCUGACAGAGGCUGACAGAUGCAGAGAGGGCUCGUGGUGAGCUGGCUGAAUUCGGGGUAAACAAGAGGAGAUUUCAUGCUUCACCUCAGAUGAGGAAAUAGGACUAGGAAUACAGUUUUAUGAUUGAAGCCGUGACAGAAAAGCCUUUCCAAAGGAGCACAGUGGAGGAGAGAACUGGAGAAGAGGCACGGAGACCGCCAAGCGUUCCAGGUGCAGGCGGCAGGAGGGAGCCCAGGAUGCCGGCAGAGCGAGCCUUGGUCUGUGAACCCCAGGGCCGAUGGGCACCGGCUCAUCUAAUUCAUUUGUGUACAGAUCCACAAAACUGCACCUGGCUGUGGCCGUCAGUAAGUGCUAUAUAAAUGCUUCAUAAGUGUUUGUUGAAGGAAGUUGAAAUGUAGUCGUCAGAAGAGUGAGAGGGAAACCAGCGACAGAGCCUUGUAAGUCUAAGAAAAAGAAUUCAAAGAUGGUCAAGAGCUAACAUUGCACAGGGAAUUACAGUAUUUCCGGAAGACCAAGGGCAACUCUGAUUGUUCCAGACUGCCUGGGAGCACCAGAGUCUGAUUGUUCCAGACUGCCUGGGAGCACCAGAGUCUGAUUGUUCCAGACUGCCUGGGAGCACCAGAGGUCUGGGUGGGGGCAGGAGUCAGUCCACCUGGAACUUCUGCCUCCAGUGCACUGAGUCUGCACGGACCACCAGGGCUGACACUGCCUUACUUAAUAUGGGGGUGGGGGAAGUCCCUGCGAUAUAUAAUGGUCUCAAUUUAAAUUCUGUGCUGUUUUUAUUUUAGCUGUGUAAUUUGGAAACUUCAAAUAAAAAGCCUGAAAGGAAAGUUGGACUAUUUAAGCUUACACAGACUCUAUUAAUGCUAUAUGGUUAUUCUACCCCUGACUUUGGAAGAAGGAGAAACUGGCAUGGGAAUACACUUUUCUAAAAAAAAUACUAUUUAAAAAUAUGAAAGUUUAUUUAACAUCUAAGGAAAGGUACUUAAUUAGAGGGACACUCAACAAGAAGAAUUGAGGAUCUAAGUAAAUAGUCCCCAUCUGCUCCUGGUCCUACCACCUGGCGAUUACUUCCUCUUCUUCUCUGAUAGAUUUUAGCCAACCAAUUUUGUUUUAUUUGUGCAAGUUGAGAGGCCACCUGUUAUGGAAUAUACUUCCACAUUAAACAAAGUGAACAUUUCCUAUUUCUGUGCUUCCCAUAUGAUUUUUAAAACACAAAGCACUCACUUUCACCUUAAACAGAUUUAAGAAAUGCUGACUCUGAUGAACAGGUAUAAACAAGGCAAUCUUUUGUUUAUGAAAAUUGUUAACGACCUACCCACAGAAAGACAUGCCCUGCGCCACACUGUACCCCCCACCCCCGCCCACCCGGCUCCCCGAUGCUGGUGAAUUAAUCUAUCCACACGUUUUUGCUCAUUUCCCUGGCUGUUACCAGCUGAAGUGAAGAAAAGACAUUUUACAAGGGGACAUGGUAUAUUUGUGCUAAAACAGGCACCACACAAAUCCAGAGAAAGGAGCCAAAAGGAAAUACCAGGCAGAGGGAACAGCGUGGAUAAAGGCAAAGCUGAGAAGAGGUUCUGAAGGAUGGAAUCCCAGAUCAAGGAGCCAGCAGAUGUGGUGGUGUGGACCCACUUCCUGGUUCAUAGAGGACCUUCCCACUGUGCCCUCAUACAGUGAAGGGGUAAGAGAGCUCCGUGGGGUCUCUUUUAGAAGGGCACUAAAC